AUGGCGACAGAAGGCAGGCACAAGGUCAAACGCAGUGUGGUCUGAGAUAAGCAAUUUUAAGAUGGGGGUGCUGAGUUGCACCCCCUCUUGCCUGGUGUGCAACCCUCACUGUCCCAGGCUGGGGACAGUGGGCCACAACGGGGAGGCUGCAGAGCACUGGGCCAAGGCCAGGAGCAGAGCCCAGGGUGGACUGCUGGGACUCCAGACCAGAAAGCAGGCUGAGCAAGGCUGGAGAUCCAGACCCCGGUUGCAAGAGGUCAGUGGCUGGAACUCAAGAUUGGCAACUGAGGAAUAACAUGGAGAUCCAGUUUUGGCAGAGAUGGAGUCACUCUUGUAUCUUGCUGGAGGAAAAAAUGAUAGGGGAAGAUUGGUAGAUCUUUUCACUUUGGACAAGCAUUGCUUGCGAGAGGAACUGGCAGCUAUGAUCACUUAUCUAAAAGAGACCAAGAGUGCUACCAAGAAAACAAUGCCAUGUUUCUAACACAUUGAGUGGGAAAUGCCAAUCCAACCCAACUUUGUCAGCAAAGAAUAUUUUCAGUGGUGGCAUUUUACUUUAUAGGGUGAUCUCUCAAAAGAGGAUUAAUAUUUAUUUUAAAUAAAAGGAAUAGAUUGGGGGCGGGGGUGGGGGAAGAGCUAUGCUGUAUAA